rnacentral:rRNA from 1 species
UACGGGGGGGGCAAGCGUUGUUCGGAAUUACUGGGCGUAAAGGGCUCGUAGGCGGCCAACUAAGUCAGACGUGAAAUCCCUCGGCUUAACCGGGGAACUGCGUCUGAUACUGGAUGGCUUGAGUUUGGGAGAGGGAUGCGGAAUUCCAGGUGUAGCGGUGAAAUGCGUAGAUAUCUGGAGGAACACCGGUGGCGAAGGCGGCAUCCUGGGCCAACACUGACGCUGAGUGAGCGAAAGCCAGGGGAGCAAACGGGG